rnacentral:rRNA from 1 species
GUGUCUGAAAUGUUCUAGCUAUCAGCACUAUACAGUGAAACUGCGAAUGGCUCAUUAAAUCAGUUAUCGUUUAUUUGAUAGUACCUUACUACUUGGAUAACCGUGGUAAUUCUAGAGCUAAUACAUGCUAAAAAUCCCGACCUCUGGAAGGGAUGUAUUUAUUAGAUAAAAAACCAAUGCCUUCGGGCUCUUUGGUGAUUCAUGAUAACUUAACGAAUCGCAUGGCCUUGCGCCGGCGAUGGUUCAUUCAAAUUUCUGCCCUAUCAACUUUCGAUGGUAGGAUAGUGGCCUACCAUGGUUUCAACGGGUAACGGGGAAUUAGGGUUCUAUUCCGGAGAGGGAGCCUGAGAAACGGCUACCACAUCCAAGGAAGGCAGCAGGCGCGCAAAUUACCCAAUCCCAAUUCGGGGAGGUAGUGACAAUAAAUACUGAUACAGGGCUCUUUCGGGUCUUGUAAUUGGAAUGAGUACAAUUUAAAUCCCUUAACGAGGAACAAUUGGAGG